GUGCUCGCUUCAGCAGUGCAUAUACUAAAAUUGGAACGAUACAGAGAAGAUUAGCAUGGCCCCUGCACAAGGAUGACAUGCAAAUUUGUGAAGCGUUGCAUAUUUUU
ensembl:snRNA U6 U6 spliceosomal RNA